rnacentral:lncRNA from 1 species
AGGGUUUUCUUGAGGCAAAAGAGGUGAAACACUUUCUCUCUUUUUCAACAAGGAGGCUGGCCACUUAGAGAGGAUUUAGCUAGUAAUCUUUUCUUCUCUAAGUCAUUCAUUUCAUCUUCACACCUCAUCUUUGGUGUGGAGACUUAGAGACACCAAACCUUUGGUGUUUUGGAGAUCCUUUCCUCACAUCCUCAAGGAGCAAAUGAGCAUCAAAAAGGAAGAUCCAAGGAGCUAGGAAGUGACUUGAAGGCCCUCCACUUGGGUGAAUCCCUUGUGUAAACAAGGAUGAGCUUCAAGGGUAAUGAAUCUUUAAAUCCUACCUUCUCUUUAAUAUUGUUAAAGA